rnacentral:rRNA from 1 species
CCUGACUGCUAUCGGAUUGAUACUAAGCCAUGCGAGUCUUUGCAGUAAUGCAAGGCAUACGGCUCAGUAACACGUAGUCAACUUACCCUAUGGACGAGGGUAAUCUCGGGAAACUGAGCAUAAUACUCGAUAGAUCAUAAUGCCUGGAAUGGUUUAUGGUUGAAAUGAUUCGUCGCCAUAGGAUGGGACUGCGGCCUAUCAGCUUGUUGGUGAGGUAAUGGCCCACCAAGGCGAUUACAGGUACGGGCUCUGAGAGGAGAAGCCCGGAGAUGGGUACUGAGACAAGGACCCAGGCCCUAUGGGGCGCAGCAGGCGAGAAAACUUUGCAAUGUGCGAAAGCACGACAAGGUUAAUCCGAGUGAUUUCUGCUAAAGAAAUCUUUUGCAAGUCAUAAAACCACUAGUGAAUAAGGGGUGGGCAAGUUCUGGUGUCAGCCGCCGCGGUAAAACCAGCACCUCAAGUGGUCAGGAGGAUUAUUGGGCCUAAAGCAUCCGUAGCCGGCUCUGUAAGUUUUCGGUUAAAUCCAUGUGCUCAACGCAUGGGCUGCCGAAAAUACUGCAUAGCUAGGGAGUGGGAGAGGUAGACGGUACUCGGUAGGAAGGGGUAAAAUCCUUUGAUCUAUCGAUGACCACCUGUGGCGAAGGCGGUCUACCAGAACACGUUCGACGGUGAGGGAUGAAAGCUGGGGGAGCAAACCGGAUUAGAUACCCGGGUAGUCCCAGCUGUAAACGAUGCAGACUCGAUGAUGCAUUGGCAUAUAGCCAGUGCAGUGUCGCAGGGAAGCCGUUAAGUCUGCCGCCUGGGAAGUACGUACGCAAGUAUGAAACUUAAAGGAAUUGGCGGGGGAGCACCACCAAGGGGUGAAGCCUGCGGUUC